rnacentral:rRNA from 1 species
UUUACACUGCACGCCAGUGCGAUAAGGGAAUCCCAAGUGCGCAGGCAUAGAGCCUGCGCUUUGUACACCGUAGGGAGUGUACGAAUAAGGGCUGGGCAAGACCGGUGCCAGCCGCCGCGGUAAUACCGGCAGCCCGAGUGAUGGCCGAUCUUAUUGGGCCUAAAGCGUCCGUAGCUGGCCGCGCAAGUCUAUCGGAAAAUCCACCCGCUCAACGGGUGGGCGUCCGGUAGAAACUGCGUGGCUUGGGACCGGAAGGCGCGACGGGUACGUCCGGGGUAGGAGUGAAAUCCCGUAAUCCUGGACGGACCGCCGAUGGCGAAAGCACGUCGCGAGGACGGAUCCGACAGUGAGGGACGAAAGCCAGGGUCUCGAACCGGAUUAGAUACCCGGGUAGUCCUGGCCGUAAACAAUGUCUGUUAGGUGUGGCUCCCGCUACGAGCGGGUGCUGUGCCGUAGGGAAGCCGCUAAACAGACCGCCUGGGAAGUACGUCCGCAAGGAUGAAACUUAAAGGAAUUGGCGGGGGAGCACUACAACCGGAGGAGCCUGCGGUUUAAUUGGACUCAACGCCGGACAUCUCACCAGCAUCGACUGUAAUAAUGACGAUCAGGUUGAUGACCUUAUCCGAGUUUCAGAGAGGAGGUGCAUGGCCGCCGUCAGCUCGUACCGUGAGGCGUCCUGUUAAGUCAGGCAACGAGCGAGACCCGCAUCCUUACUUGCCAGCAGCACUGCGAAGUGGCUGGGGACAGUAGGGAGACCGCCGUGGCCAACACGGAGGAAGGAACGGGCAACGGUAGGUCAGUAUGCCCCGAAUGUGCUGGGCAACACGCGGGCUACAAUGGUCGAGACAAAGGGUUCCUACUCCGAAAGGAGACGGUAAUCUCAGAAACUCGAUCGUAGUUCGGAUUGUGGGCUGCAACUCGCCCACAUGAAGCUGGAUUCGGUAGUAAUCGCGUGUCACAAGCGCGCGGUGAAUACGUCCCUGCUCCUUGCACACACCGCCCGUCAAAGCACCCGAGUGAGGUCCGGAUGAGGCUCGUUACACGAGUCGAAUCUGC